ACAAAUUCCAGGCUUCUAGAGAGCAUCUUUCAGGAAGUGUCAGCCAUUGCUAUUUCCUCCUGUACUUCUGAGAGUGGUUCCCACCCUUGGUGAAGUGGAAGAGAUUACAAGGAAGGAAAAAAACGGGCCCAAGAAUGUGCAGGAAGAGCAAGUAGAACUAUCACCGAGUUGUUGGAUCUGAAGAUCUGAUCCCACUAAGAGUUAAAGCAAG
rnacentral:lncRNA from 1 species